rnacentral:rRNA from 1 species
CACGUAGUUAGCCGGUGCUUCUUCUACCGGUACCGUCAAACGAAUCCUUCGUCCCGGUCGAAAGAGGUUUACAACCCGAAGGCCGUCAUCCCCCACGCGGCGUUGCUGCGUCAGGCUUUCGCCCAUUGCGCAAGAUUCCCCACUGCUGCCUCCCGUAGGAGUCUGGGCCGUGUCUCAGUCCCAGUGUGGCCGGUCACCCUCUCAGGCCGGCUACCCGUCGUCGCCUUGGUAGGCCAUCACCCCACCAACAAGCUGAUAGGCCGCGGGCUCAACCUGCACCGCCGGAACUUUCCACACACACACCAUGCGGCGAUGUGUCCUAUCCGGUAUUAGACCCCGUUUCCAAGGCUUAUCCCAGAGUGCAGGGCAGAUUACCCACGUGUUACUCACCCGUUCGCCACUCAUCCACCCCGAAGGGCUUCAGCGUUCGACUUGCAUGUGUUAAGCACGCCGCCAGCGUUGUCCUGAGCCAGGAUCGAAACUCU